GCUGCGCGGGAGGGAGCAGGAGGAGCAGAGCGGGAGUGAGCAGAAGGCAGUGAGGAUGGGGGUCCUCACUCCCAUCAGCCUCAGGCACCACACAGUACCCCAGGGAAGCCAUCCUCCUGCAAAAGAUCGGAAAGUGGAGGGUGGGUUUAAAAAUGUUUUUACAUGUCUCAGUAUGUCUGCGUGUGUGUGUCUCUCAGUAUGUCUGCGUGUGUGUGUGUGUGUGUCUCAGUAUGUCUGCGUGUGUGUGUGUGUCUCAGUAUGUCUGCGUCUGCGUGUGUGUGUCAGUGUAAGUGCCUGUGUAUUUGCAUAUGUGUCAGUGUGUAUGAGAACCAAAAUUAUAUAUAAACACACAUUCAAAAAAAAAAAACCAAGAAAAAAAAAACACUACACAUAAAUGCACGCUUGCAUCCAAACUCUAACACAUUCAGACAAACAUACUUCAUGCAAAAACAUGCUUACACUCAAACAGUGCAAAAUACAACCCUGCAAGCAUGGG